UACGUAGGGUGCGAGCGUUGUCCGGAAUUAUUGGGCGUAAAGAGCUCGUAGGCGGCCUGUUGCGUCUGCUGUGAAAUCCCGGGGCUUAACCCCGGGCGUGCAGUGGAUACGGGCAGGCUGGAGGCAGGCAGGGGAGAAUGGAAUUCCCGGUGUAGCGGUGAAAUGCGCAGAUAUCGGGAGGAACACCGGUGGCGAAGGCGGUUCUCUGGGCCUGUUCUGACGCUGAGGAGCGAAAGCGUGGGGAGCAAACAGG
rnacentral:rRNA from 1 species